GAAGUUUGCAGAAUCUUCAUGCGAUUUAUAUAAAACCGGCAAAAUUGUACCGGGACACGUCUGUGGGUUGACUUGCCUUCAUUCUCAGCAUCUGCCGCUUCCCAAAUAAGUUCUUUAGGCCAUUCAAAUACUAGUAAAACACACCAGGCCAACAUUGAAAUCCUUUGUAGACAGGACGUAUCUGAAAGCGCCGCUUGCUACAUGAAUGGCAGAGGAAGAGAAAAGAAGUUCUCCGAAAGCCUGCUGUGAAGCCCACAUUAAGAUGAAGGAAUACGUAGUCCAAAGACCGACCCAAAGAAAAGAUGGUUAAAAAGCCAUCGUGCUUUAGUAGAGCCACCGCCACACCUGCAAGUACCUUGAUGGUACUUAGAGGUCAACCCGUUAGGAGCUGGGCCCUGUGCAAACACUGGGAAACGCUUGCCUUAACUGCCAGUCUGCUCUUCCAAAUCUGACAGCCCGUGCAGAACAGCAGACCUGAGCUGAUGCCAGAAUAAGUGCUGGUCUGGUAAGAGAACUCAAACAUCAAACCCUACAGCCCCGCGUGGCCGAGUUAUGGAGGAGAAAAUUGCUGCAGAGAACUGUGCAAGAGGAGGAAUGAUGGAACUGGUUUAAAUGUAGCCCACCGCAGCGUGUUUCACAUGGCUGAGAAACAUCUCAUAAUUAAAUAAAGGUCAUGAGUGAAGAUGGUAAACGAUAUCAGCCCUGGUGUUGGCCCUGAAGUACUCUGCUUCCCUCCGGCUGCCAAACAGAUGUUGAGACGCUGGUGGCCAUCUUUCAGUCUGGAGUCUCUCUGGGAGGCAGGAGGGAGAGUCCUCCGUGCCAGGACAGCCAGGGGCCCUCUGCAGCGCGCCGGUCAUCCGUGCCCCAUCCUUGCUUCAGCCCGAGCUCCUGAACCUCAGGAGCAUCUCCCAACCGCCGCGUUACUGGCUUACCUGGGACAGGUGGAUGGCGCGACCUCUCCGCAGUCCCCAACGUUGUCAAUGUUUACCAUCGUAACAGAUCUGUCUCUGCAAAACACUCUGCAUUUAGCAAAACACCACACGUCCACAAAGACUGGAACAUCCUCCUCCUCCUUUCCCUACCUCCCUGUAAGCUCUCCUGCUCUCCCUCCCUGCUUCCUCCACACUUGGUCAUUAAGGAGCCUCUACCACAAACCUGAAUUCUCCUAUCAUUCCUGGACGGGCUUCUGUCCAACCCACAACUUCGGCCCACGUCUCUGGCAGUUCUUCAUGAAGGUCUAGUUAUCUGUUCAAGCCAGCGCAUUCGCGGUUCGUAUCGGCCGCCCCGGCUCCGCUGACGUUGGGAAGGAGGUGGCGGCUCCGUGCGGAAGCUCCCGCAGAGCCUGGGGCUCUCCCGUCCCCGCGGCUGGGCUGGAUUCGGCGCCCAGAGUGGACCCUGUGUAAGGGACAAGGGAAGAGACACCCGUACGUGUCCCAGUUACAAUCGCAGACAUCGUCAUCCACGAAUUUCGUGACUUUUCCAUUUCUCCUACUUAAGAUUAUAAAAUGCCUGGGUGAUAGUUGCAGCAACUGUUUACAUUAUCUAAAAUAGCAGCACGGUAUUUCCACCGCAUACCAACAAGAGCCAAGGCCUAUAUUUUAUAAACAUCUUCGAAGCAAACAUUUAAGGCCAACUGCAAGACUUGGAUUUGAAAUUCUCGCUCUGGUGUACGAUGGCACUCGGUGCUCGAGUUGACUUUCAGCUCCUUUUCAGUAUUGCGGAGUCAUUCUAAUACUUUUCCUUUUAAGACGACACGUGGUAGAGUACCCAAAUCCCUCCGAACAGUGCAAUCAUUCUUUUAAACUUUUAUCUGAAAAGAUGGUAUUUUACAGUCCGAGAAGGGCAGUUUCCUCCCUCUAGAUAAUUGAGAAAGGGAGGUUUUCCACCGGCUCCAGCAGGGUUGGGAUCAGACUCUUCUGCUAGUGUUUUGAUACAGUCCUAUUUUUCAUUAAGACGCAACAAUAACCAGGAAAAUCCCAUAAUUAUUUCUGGGAAUUCAGUAAUUUUUAAACGGUGAAAUUGUGCGUCAUUUCAGUUGUAAUUUGGAACCCAACCACUUUAUAUGCUGUUGAAAGCCUCAUCUCCCACAAGGGACGUUUUGUGAGACAGAAAUUGCAAUGAAUCGGGAUGAGACAAACGCUGUGGCGAGGAGCAGAUUCGAGUUGUGAAGUGGGUAAAAUAACGUUCUCUUUAGGCUUGGAAAAACUAUCUUCUAAUUAGUGUGAAAAAUACAGUUGUAUGUAAACUGCAAGCAUCUCAGUGAAUACGCAUCCCUAAAUCAAUAAUUUUCAAUAAAACGUGCUUUCUAUGUGAGUUUUCGAUGUUCAGAAGUGGGAUUGUUCUCAGGGAGAACGCUCAGAGCCGGCUCUUUUGAUGUUGUGUUCACAGAAACAGGCACCACGUGAUGCAAGUUCAUACAGAACGAAUGGAAUUAGGGCACAUGGUGGAAGACUUCUCGCAACAAAUUGCUCACAAAUAAUUUAUGGCGAGAAUUACUUGUAGAGUGAUUACAGCACAUGUUUUUGGAAAAAAAAAAUAAAUCAAGAAAAAUCAAUCCGCUUGUGGACUAAUAAUGAAAAGAGGAAGAGGAAAAAUUCCUCUAACAAAUAUGAAACUGCAAAUUAUUCAGGCAGCUCGGUUGGCAACAACCAAUUUUUAUGGUAGUAGGAGCUUGUGGAGUAGGAGGUAACUGUACGAAGAAUGAUUGAUUCAGUAUCUUGUAUUGCAAUUCUGGAAGGGGUUCAACAUCUAAUUUAAAAGCCAUUUUCUUCCUUUUACCCAGUAAAGAAAACGAAAUGAUACUCAAUGUCUGUGAGCUGUUUUGGGCAGACAGAAUCUAUUUUGUGUCCAUGCAGUCCCGUGGUCACUGACAAUGGCUAGCUCAUAAGAAAGAGCAGUUACUUAUUAGGAAAGAUCUCUCUUGCCAGAAAAAAACCAAAACCUGCCUGAGGAAGGAUAUUGCCUUAAUCCUCUUUGCAUCUUCCCAUUAGAGAGUAAAGGAUUUGCCCUUCCAGCAGAGACACAUAAUCGGUCUUAAACUCAGCAUAUCUUUUCAGCCUUUGAGUUGUGGAGUCUUGUGUAGACUGCAUCUCCGCCAGCCCAUCUUUCAGUCCGCGGCAAGAAAACGAUCGGUAACUGACGUUCCUCUUGGAAGAACACAAAGCACACUUGGGGCAGCCCUCUCCUGAGACCACCUUUUGUCUCCUCCUCCCCCUGCCCUGGGAGGACGCCAGCCACCAUCUGGGCAAGAGCCUCCAGGAUGCUGCACCAGGAUCCCGGCGGCGUCCUCUGCUGCCGCGGGUAGAGAGAGAAAGCUGCCGGGACUGAUGAUCUGUUGCCAUGUCCACUGAAGGGAACAAUGAAAAAAAGGUGUAUUUCCACAAGAAUUUUCUAGACAACCUCUCCAGCAAAGGAAGGACGUGGUGCAGAAGAUGAUCUUCAGGAGCUAUUUCAUCAGCCCAUUAGGAGGCAGGGUGAGGAUAUCUGCACCCAGUUGAGCUGUGCUGAAACCACCUUUAAUCCCUGCCCUUUGUACCUUUCCUCCCAAGCUGGAAGGAAAUUCACGUUAGACUCAAGACUGCUUGAAACGUCUUUUGGAUGGUAAUGCCGGCCCACCACGGGAAAACGUUUGGCCCACCGGUUAUGCUCUAGCAGCCCUUCCUGCAUCACCCACCGGCGCCUGGGACGGGAGCUCGGGGCAUCAGUAGCUCAUCACCCGCAGAGUACUUGUCAGAGGGCAGCCGAGGUGUUGGUGGACAAAAUUCAACAAUUUCACCACGAAAGAGCUUUCAUUCUGACUGUAAUCUGAAUAUCGACAGAUUUCUCGCCCUGACUGCAGAUACAUACGUAGGUUGUUUGAUCCAGGUGAAAAAAACACCCCCGCCCUUUGCCUUUCCCCUCCCCAUAGGCAAUUUGGCAAAGUUUGCCUAGAAAGGGUAACAGAAUUUUCAGCUGCUGCAGGCACCCCCGAGCCUACCAGCUUUUUUGCUUUUGUUUAAUUUACUACAUGCGAUUAACUCCGCUGCGUUUCUGCCUGGCAGAAUCUGUGACUAAAAAUACCCUGUGAGUAUACAUCGUGUGCUGCAACACUGGCAGAAAGUAAAUAAGACCAUGGUCUUCAUAAUCACUGUUUUUCCAAAGAACUGCUGCUCCCAGCAGACGGGCUAUUUUAGGCUGUAAAUGGAAAUCAGAAAAUGAGAUUUUCUCUCCUUGUUAGUUCUUCUCCUGGGAAUUUUAGUGCUUUCCUUUCCCCCUGCUUUGGGUGUUGGUGGCAGCUUACUGGCAAUACCAGUCUCUUGGAGGAUUGAACUCUGGAGCCUGUUCUGAAAUACACAAGUGAACAUGGGAAAUAAUUUCCACUAGUACCAACAUAUUAUUUGCUGAUAUAAAAUCAGGUGUUAGAUCAAAACCAGAUUUGGAUAGCCUGAUUCACUCCGUCAUUCAGGUGAUGGUUCACUCUGAAUUCAGGCUUGCGAAGCAGAUGAUAGAAGUAUUUCCUAGCUCCCUGCACUUUCUGUUCUAAUAUUGGUAAUGUAUUUGCAUCUCUCAAUUUUGCAGACCGCCUUUUACCUCCUAUUUGAUGAUCUAAGUCCCGUCAUGCAUGUAGACACCCUUGACACGCUGUAUUGACAAUCCCAUCGAUACCAGCGAUGUCUGGCCUUGCCACCAGUUUUUAGGACAGACACUAUCAUCCAAAUCAUACAUAUCACAUGCAUCUAAUGCAAUAUCUUCGCACAGUCUUUAAAUCUGAGAAGUUCUAAUUAUCAUUUUUAAUACUUCAUGUAUUAUGCAUUUUCUUCUGGAAAAAGCUUCGUGUUAUCAGGAAUUCAAAAGAUGAGGUUUUGCCACAGCAACGUGCAGAUCCGAGAACUUGAGCACAAAUCGUAACCUUUAGCAUUAGCUGCACUUUUCGGAUGCCCCAAACGGCGUUGAGGGGGAUUUUCUGUGCUAGGAAAUACCCUAAUUAUUUCAUAGCAUGGGUACUACUGUGAUACGAUGUCUGUAACCCCCCUGUUUGAUUGAAUACUACUCACAAGCAUCCUUUCACCUACUGAGCGGCUGGUACUUUAUUUUAGUCAAUUGUGGUAUUACUGAGAGUGCUCUCUUUCUGCCUACAUACAUAAAAACCCCAAAACUUUUAACCUUGGAAAAACAUUAAUUGUGCUAGUUUCUUCACUGAGGGAGGAGGAGCGGGCUUUUUUGGGAAUGUCUCAGACAACAAGGGUCAGCUCGGGAACUGAGAGCAGAUGAAAGAUUUUCGGAGAAUACAGGGAAAAAACCCAGAUGGCUUUAAAUAAGUGAAUAGAAAAACCGCUUUGUGUUGUACCCAGACGUCACACGUGAUAAUCCAGACGUCCCAAAUGGUUGUCAUAAUCAUGAUCUGUCAUUCUCAUGCUCUUCCACUUUGUUUUGUCAUUUGCAGCGUUCGUGUGCUUGACUUUAAGCAGUCUGAUGCCGUCCACUGCUUUGACCUUAAAGCUAUUAAAAUUGCAAGAAACAUUUAGAAAGUUGGAAAACUAUUUAUCUGGAAAAGUCCUUGGAGCACAAUGAAAGAUGAGAAGUGACUGAACGACCCCCUGUUUGAUUUACUCCCUUUGAAAAGGUCCUUUCCCCUUGGGCCUCUCCUUGCCCACCACCAGCUGCACUUGCCCCUGCUCCCGUGGCGUCCUCCGUACCUUUUCCCGGCGGGCUCGCUGCCUGUUACACGGUUUAGGCAGGCGCCUUCAUCCUCAUCCCUUUCUAGUCCUCUUUCCGAAGCAGCACGAGACCCAGCUGCUACCCGCUGCCCACCUUCUUGCUCUGCGACAACGCCAGAUCAUCUUUUUUCCCAUUAAUCAUAUUUACUUAUCUGCGCACGUUUCCCUCUGUGAUUCCUCUGUCCUUUAUGCCUUGAAUUCCAGUUUUCUGUGUAAAAUCCCACAAUUUUCUAGGUGAUGUCCCUUAUCCCAGGGCUCCCUUCCUCUUGAACCACUACAGCUCCUCAAAAUCAGAGGAGCGACAGUGAGCAGAUGAUGCAGCUCAUUAGAAGCGCAGCACACAGUAUAACGUGGUUAGCCAUCACCAGACCCACUGCUAAUUCUGUAGCCUUUUCUCCAGAGACCCCUCUGUCUUUUCACGUACUGAGCAGCUGGAAGCACGGAGUGUUUUUCU